AGAUUUUUUAUCUCUAAAGCAUCGUGAACACACAUAAGGUGUCCUUGGUUUAGAUUUUAAGGGCCAUGCCUCCUGACAUUCUGUACACUGACUGACAAUGUAUUGCACAGACUUACUAAACUUAUUAAUGUUAGCCUUAGCCCAACAUUGUUCUUCAAUACCACCAUUUUUGGUUCUGUCAAACAUAUUUAAAUAGUCCUGUUGAUUUAAUAUUUCAUGUUGAGGCUGUGACACUUUUUUUGCCCGCUUUUGUUUUUUAUUAAGUCUAUCUUUCUCAAGCCUCACUUGUCUGCUGGUGUCAGUUUCCUCUGCCCGCUUUCUUUUUUUAGACUCACUAUCCUUUUGAAGUCUAAUUUGUCUGUUGGUGUCAGUUUCCUCUGACCGCUUUGUUUUUUUAGACUCACAAUCCUUUUGAAGUCUAAUUUGUUUUUCACUGUCAGUUUCCUCUGAACGUUUCUGUUUAAUAAACUCACUUAAUUUUUGAAGUCUUAUUUGCCGUUCACUGUCAGUUUCCUCUGAACGUUUCUGUUUAAUAAACUCACUUAAUUUUUGAAGUCUUAUUUGCCGUUCACUGUCAGGUUUCCUCUGAACGUUUCUGUUUAAUAGACUCACUUAAUUUUUGAAGUCUUAUUUGCCGCACACUGUCAGUUUCCUCUGACUGCUUUCUUUUUUUAUACUCACUAGCUUUCUUCAGUCUAGCUUGUUUAUCACCUUCAUUUUCUAUUAAAAGCCUCUUUUUCAGGACAUACUCU